rnacentral:rRNA from 1 species
UGGGGAAUUUUGGACAAUGGGCGCAAGCCUGAUCCAGCCAUGCCGCGUGAGUGAAGAAGGCCUUCGGGUUGUAAAGCUCUUUCGGCGGGGAAGAAAUGGCGCUUUCUAAUACAGAGCGUUGAUGACGGUACCCGCAUAAGAAGCACCGGCUAACUACGUGCCAGCAGCCGCGGUAAUACGUCGGGUGCGAGCGUUAAUCGGAAUUACUGGGCGUAAAGCGUGCGCAGGCGGUUGUGUAAGUCAGAUGUGAAAUCCCCGGGCUCAACCUGGGAACUGCAUUUGAAACUGCACGGCUAGAGUGUGACAGAGGUGAGUAGAAUUCCACGUGUAGCAGUGAAAUGCGUAGAGAUGUGGAGGAAUACCGAUGGCGAAGGCAGCCCCCUGGGUUACUACUGACGCUCAUGCACGAAAGCGUGGGGAGCAAACA